GAUUACAGCUUCUUCACGCACCAUCCAAAAACCAAAUUACUCUUCGUCCUUCCUCAGCCCACCGCCGUCCUCCGCCCGCCGCCCAUAGUUUGCCGGUUGCCUGCUUCACGACCCUCUAUCGCCUGCAGCCCUCCGCCGCCUGUGCUUCGCGGGCCACCGGAAAUAGAGGACAUAGACCUCCCAUCCAUAUCGCCGUCGAUUGGCGGUGAUGGGUAGCCUCACAUAAUCCGACGGUGAUUCUUCAAUUUCGUAAGAAUUGAUAUUGAUUCCUCGGAAUUCAACUACUCUUCGGGAAGGGAUGAAGUGGUCGUCCUAAUACCACUGCGGGAAGAAUGCUUCUUCGAGCGAACCAAGGAGAUUUUUGCUGUUGUUAGGGGCCGAUGACAGACCUUGGAAAAGCUGCGGCGGUGGGCGAAUAUAGAGGCGUCGAAUACACAGUGUAUAGGCGAUGGGAUUGAGCAAGUUUGUAUGCUAAGUCCUUGUCUUACAUAUGCAACCCUUCCACCAGUCAAUCCAGGAGCCCUCCCUAUGUUAAAAGUGCCGGGAACCAAUCCAAUGGUGGGAAUGGUGGUGAGAGCAAUUCGAGUUCCCAGGUUUACAUCACCGGCGGAAUGUCUGACGCAGCGACAAGCGGCGGCACGCCUUACCAGCCAAUUGUAGAAACGUAUAAAUCGGUUCGCGACGAGCCGUACUGGUCGUGUGGAUUCCCAGAGAAAGAAGGCACUCAAGUGGGACGCUUUGUUGGAUGAUGUCAGCCCGAGCUUACAGCAUGAUGGGUUCGAAAUUUCGAUCAAAGAUGGAAAGAAUCUGACCGUCCCGACAGCGGAGCUGCUAAAAAUGAGAAAUCAUCUAACAGGAUUAUGAGGUCCAUGUUUGUUCAUUAAUUCAUAAUAAAAUUAUUGUUGAUAUUGUGUAUUAUUACUCGUCUCAUGCUUUGGUUAUGUUAUGUCAUUUUUGAAACUGAGAUGUUAUUAUUGUUAUGAUGUUACCAGAUAAGUACCAUAAUCAAUCCUCGAGGAGCUCCGUUAGAUGGGCCGUAUAUAGUUAUAAGGUGUGGGCAGAUGACAUGGAAUUUAACUUCUCUAAGGUUACAGAUGUUGUCAGUUGGCAUGGUUGCUUUGAUUUUGGAAUGUAUGCUAUGAUGUUUAAAAAUAAUUUUUGUGGGAGUCCAUAAUUGUCUUUAUAAUUGGGAUUUGGGAGUUGAUAGGCUGUCCUAUGUUCAUCAUUUUAUAUCUGAAAAUGUAAGUGUGGUUAUGUUGUGUAUUAUAUCACCACCAGACCGGCGAACAUCACUCUCGAUUCCGCCGGGAACCACUACUAUAACUGCACUUUCAGCCAUCAUUGCUAAUUCAGGCAGAACUUAACUGUAACAGUAUAGACUCGUCAGCUGGUGGCAGGGCAAAUUCACCGGCACCCCCACCACGGUACCACCCCCUCGUGUGCAACUCCUCAGCCAGAUGCUUGUGCACAAACCACCAAAGAUGAAAGCCAUACGCGACCACCAUGACCCCACCUCUUGAUUCUGCAUCAGUUUCUUUGACCGCCAUCGUCUUGCUUUCUCUUAUUGUCCACUUCAGUAGCCUUUAUUCUCCAAGGGAAAAAAAAUACUAAUUUUUGGGUAUAUUUUUCGUACGGUACUUUACAAUAAACUUUGUUUUGGAUUUAUUGUAAUUUACACAUCUCAAUUUUGUUUCUAUAAGCGAGUGAAGAAUUAAUAAGGACAGGUUAUAAU